GGACUACUCAGAUUUUUGGAAUAGAUCUUUGGCAGUCUGUACCACAGGACUCGCCACGGCAUCUGUUGGGACAUGGAAGGCAGACUUUUUCUUUGCUCACAAAUGAAGCUGCUCAUUUAGAAAAUGUUUAGGAGUUAGGCAGCUCCGGUGUAAAUUCUUUCCCAUUCUCUAGCUUUUUACUCAUUCAUCUGGUCAUCACUUUGAUUAUUAUGGAGAUUUGGGGUUUGCUUCAAAUUUGAAAGAAGAGCUUACAGUUAAUUUUCCUAUAGCAGUUACAGUGACACAUUUCAGUUCCCGAUUUCUUCAGCAAUAGGUAUGGAAGUAAAGUUGAUCUUUUACCUUGGAAAGCAGAAGAAAAGAAAAAAUUAGCCCCGAGGGUUUUUUUUUUUUUCCUCCGUAGCAAAUUGGUUGUUUCUCGCCGAGCGGUAAAAUGACAUUGGCUUUUCUCUCCUAUGAAAUAGUUAAUCCAUGUAGCACUUUUAGUAUCUUUCCUUUUCUGUAGUGAUGGAGUUGGUUCUAGUCAAAGACCAGCCCUGCAGAAGUGGAAACAGAACAGGUUGCUACAUGUGCUUAUCAGAAUGUGAAAUGUACGUGGUUUUUUGUCUAGCUGUUUCACUUUUAGGAGUUCAGCUUACAGAUAUACUCAAUGAAAGUGCUUAAAGAUAAAAGAAUAAGGAUGUUUAUUGUAGUAGUAAUAGUAAUAAUGAAAAACUAGAAAAAUAGUGGUCAUCUUUACUAACUAAUAGUUCUUUUAUUCAUUUAUUUUUUGGGUGUCGACUGGUCUUGAGACUCCGUGUUAGAUGCUGGGGAAUACACAGUCCUGGCCGUCAUGGAACUUGUACAUUAGUAGGGUUGACAGGGAUUAAUCAAAUAAUCGCGCAUAUAAAUGUGUCCUUAGAACUAUGGAUGAGGAAUGCCAGAAGACGACCAGACUUUAAGGGAAAGAUCAGGAGUCAGAGUUUGGACAGGCUGAUUCAAGGGUUCAGCUGCCGCGCUCAACCAGUAUGCCUUGGCCAGUGCUGGGAAUGAAGACUUGCUGAGAUGCCACGUGGAGUAGGGGAUGCUUGGAGCCCCGGGGCUGUUGCCUCUGCUCCUGAGCAGCUCCCAGCGUUUACUCCACUCUGCCAUACAAAUAUUAUCAUUUUUCAUGUGUCUCAUGACCAUGGAAACAAAAAAGAGAGGGAUAUAUUCUAUAAUGCCACCUGUAGUGACAAUAAUUUUUUUCAUUUGAACAUCUGUUUUUUUUAAAAAUCACAUUUAAAUAAAUCUAAAAUUUUCUUCAUCUUAUUUGAAGAUUAACUGUAAUUGAAUAGGUCACAAUUUUGAGAACAUCAUUAUGUGCUAAGCACUCUUCUGAGGGUUUUAAAUGUAUUAUCUCAUUUAAUACUUGAAGUGUCUCUAUGAAUUGGGCACCGUUCUGUCCCUGCCAGAUGAGGAAGCUGAGGUAGGAGACACUGAAUAACUUGCUCAAUGGACAAAACCUGGGGUUUGAUCCCAGGCAGUCUGUCUCCAGAGACUCUGAUAUUAACCACUACCUUUCUGUACUCCAGUUUUAUUUCACUCUAAAGUCUAAUAUCUUACCUAGCUUGUGCUAAAAUUAUAAAAUUCUAAUAAUUUUUAAUUGUGUUAACUUAUUACUCAUGUUCUGCCAUGAUCGGCUGUUCUGUUUUAAUAAAGUUUGGAAGCUUCUUAUUCUGGCAUUCUUGGUUUAACGUCUUGCUGUUAUGCUUUUCUUAGGAAUAUCUUUUCCUGACUCCCUUCAGAGGUUGGCGUGGACAGUCCUCCUAAGCAAAGCCUUUUUUUCUCCAUAGGUUCCAACUAACAUUUUAGCUUUCUUCUUUUAAUGGAUUGUGUGUGUGUGUGUGUGUGCGCAUAAUGUGUGGGAUUAAUUUCCAUGGGCAUUGCUUCAUUGCUAGCUAUUUCUAAUCUAGCAGUCAGGGGAAACUUAUU